CAAAGCUUGAUUUCAUCUUUCAAAGGGUGAAAUCUUGAAGUGCAAUCAUCCUUGCUCUUCAUCUACACGACUACACCAUUAAUUAGUCCUCCAUGUCGUGUUUUGGAAGGGACUAAGAGAUUAAGGACUUAUAUUGAAGUUGGAUGUAUCGAGGAGCAUAGAGGUAA